rnacentral:rRNA from 1 species
AUUGAACGCUGGCGGCAUGCCUUACACAUGCAAGUCGAACGGCAGCACGGGAGCAAUCCUGGUGGCGAGUGGCGAACGGGUGAGUAAUAUAUCGGAACGUGCCCAGUCGUGGGGGAUAACGUAGCGAAAGCUACGCUAAUACCGCAUACGAUCUAUGGAUGAAAGCGGGGGAUCGCAAGACCUCGCGCGAUUGGAGCGGCCGAUAUCAGAUUAGGUAGUUGGUGGGGUAAAAGCCUACCAAGCCUUCGAUCUGUAGCUGGUCUGAGAGGACGACCAGCCACACUGGAACUGAGACACGGUCCAGACUCCUACGGGAGGCAGCAGUGGGGAAUUUUGGACAAUGGGCGCAAGCCUGAUCCAGCAAUGCCGCGUGCAGGAUGAAGGCCUUCGGUUGUAAC